UGUGACAUACCUUAAUGUUGCCUCGGCGGAUCAGCCCGCGCCCCGUAAAACGGGACGGCCCGCCAGAGGACCCAAACUCUAAUGUUUCUUAUUGUAACUUCUGAGUAAAACAAACAAAUAAAUCAAAACUUUCAACAACGGAUCUCUUGGUUCUGGCAUCGAUGAAGAACGCAGCAAAAUGCGAUAAGUAAUGUGAAUUGCAGAAUUCAGUGAAUCAUCGAAUCUUUGAACGCACAUUGCGCCCGCUGGUAUUCCGGCGGGCAUGCCUGUUCGAGCGUCAUUUCAACCCUCAAGCCCCCGGGUUUGGUGUUGGGGAUCGGCUCUGCCUCACGGCGGUGCCGCCCCCGAAAUACAUUGGCGGUCUCGCUGCAGCCUCCAUUGCGUAGUAGCUAACACCUCGCAACUGGAACGCGGCGCGGCCAUGCCGUAAAACCCCAACUUCUGAAUGUUGACCUCGGAUCAGGUAGGAAUACCCGCUGAACUUAAGCAUAUCAAUAAGCGGAGGAA
rnacentral:rRNA from 1 species